rnacentral:lncRNA from 1 species
GGAGAAGAGCCAGGUGAGGAUAAUCAGAUUUUCUGUAGAGUUUUGUUCUUCAAUCAAAGGUAAGGGUGAGACUAACAUUCAGUAAUCAUAGUGUAUAAAUUCUGAAUUUGUGAUUUAACAUGUUGUUGUUCUUAGGUUGGAUAAUUGGGAUUAGGUUUUGAUUAUUGAUUUUUGAAUUGAAAAGUGUAGAAACCAUCGAAAUUGUGUUAAGAAUCGAUGUUCAGAUUGUAGAAUAAACAUAGGUUGAGUUUCCUAUCAAAUUUGGGGUUUGGGUGGAUGAAAAAUUGGGUUUUUGGCUGAAAACUGGUCUGUUCCCGUAGAGUUGUUCGUCGCAACUCGCCACAGCGAGUAAACUUACUCGCCUCGCGAGCUGCACAGCGACAGCAUCACCUAUUUCGCGUUCUUGCGUCUUUUUCACAUGUUUCUGUUUUGAAUUGGUCUUUGGUGUAAACAUGAAAGUUGUAGAUAAUUUUGUUACCUUUUUAAUGGAUUUGGUUUGGCUUGAAAAUGAUUUUUGGUUUAUGAGAUAUGAUGAAAAUACUCCAAGGAGGUCUUAGUGAAUUUUUAUGAAUUUCAGCACAACUUUGUCAGAAUUUGAAAUGAAAACUGGUAUUGAUUGGUACAUAAUUGGUCUUAGGUGUAAACACGAAAGUUGUAGGUAUGGAUGUUAGUUUUCUAAUGCUGUUGGUUUGACUUCAAAAUGAUUUAUAGAACUUGAGUUAUGGUCAAAUUACUACACGUACGUCACAGUGAAGAAUUGUUUAUGAUUGAUGAAUUAAUAUAUGUAUGUAUAUAUUUGUGAAUACAAUAUUGUCAAUGAUUGAUGAAGUGUUAUAUGUAUAUAUGAUGUUUUAAGAUGUUGAUUACCGUUUGAUGUUGUUAUAUCUUGAGAUUGUUUGUGUGCUGCCAUGUUGCUGGUUAUUAUUGAUUAAGAUGCAUAUGUUGGUUAAUGUUGUGGAAAAUGUUGGUUAAUAUGCUGAUUAAUAUUUGAUUAAAGUGGGUUAAUGUUUAAUUAAAGUGGGUUAACGUUUGAUUAAAGUUGGUUAAUAUUUAGGUGACGUUGGUUAAUGUUGGCUGGUGUUGGUUAAUGUGAAAUAUAUAUAUUAUGUGGAAAAUAUAUGACGUUGAAGUUGUUGUUGGCUAUCAUUAGUUGUAUUAUUGUGGUGUAAGUCUUAUUCAUAUAUAUAUAUAUAUGUAUUUGUUGAGGGGUGGUUGUCGUCGUUCAUACUGUCGGUGUUUAUAUGUAGAUUACACAGGUGGGUCAGUUGCAUAAGCAUAAAAGUGGGAGAGUUUCGGCUCUGGAACGCCUUGUCGUUCAAAGUGGUGGAGCACUAGUUGCUCAAAGUGGUGUUAGUGGUGAGGACUUAUGUCCUGAAAAUGAAUGCUUUAACCAUUCUACAGCGGUGAGGGCUACGGUCCUGAUUAUGGUACCACAUGCAUGCGCAUUAUUGAGGAGUCUUAAUGGAGUCGUUGAGUAGUUGCAUGAGUCGAUGUUGUUGGUUUUAAUUACCAUUUGUUGUUGAUGUUGUUAAUGAUGAUAUAAUUAUAUACUGAUGAAUUAUUAUUAUGAAAGGGUGUUAGAUUUAAUUGAUGAACUAUAUAUCUAUUAUUGAUGAAAUUAAGAUGAUUAAUGAUAUUGUUAAUGAUGAUUGAUGUUGUUAAUGAUGUGGUAUAUUUGUAAAUGCAUUAUGUGGAAUUAUAUAUGAUGUUUAAGUUGUGUUGAUUAUCAUUUGAUAUUGCUAUAUCUUGAGAUGUCUAUGUGCUACCCGUGAUGCUGUCGAAUCUUGACUAAGAUGUAAAUGUUGGUCUAAGGUGUACUCUUACGUUGUCGAGUUAGGAGAGGUGGUGUACUCUCACGUUGUUUAUGUUGUUGAUUAAGCUGUUGUUGUUGUUGUUGGGAGAGUUGUUUUCGUUGUGGUAGAAUCUUGUUGUUGUCGUCGUUGUUGGUUGAAUUAGUAAGUGUUACUAAAGUUAAAGAAGUAAGAAUAUUAUUAUGAUGAUUUAUUGCUGUUUACAUUAUUAUAAGAUGAGGAUUAUGUUGUGUCGACUAUGUUAUUAUGAGGUGAUGAUUAUGUUGUGUUGUCUAUAUUAUUAUGAGAAGAUGUUUAUGAUAUGAUGAAUUAGGUUGUUAUGAUGUUACAUGAUGAUGAUUAUGAAUGUUGUGAUGAUGAUUACAUGAUGUUAAGCUAUGAGUUGUUAAAUGUACUUGAUGAUGGUUAUGUUAAGUUGAUAAGUUAUCUUUUAUUCAUGAAUUGCUAAUGAAAUGUUUGAUGAAUAAUUAUUAUUAUGAAUUGAUGAUGUUACGUAUAGUUGUUAACUUGUCUUCUAUUCAUGAGUUGUUAAUGAGAUGCUGGGUGGAGAAUGUUAAUACGAAUUAAUGAUGUUAUUAUGUUGUAUAUGAUUUUGAUUAAGAUGUUGAUUAUGAUGUUAAAUGAUGCGGUUAUGAUGUUGUUUAUGAUAUCGAGUUAUGACUGUUGAUAUGAUGAGUACAUGAUAUGGUUUAGGAGUCGUUAAAAGAAUUAUUAUUACUAAUUGAUGGAGUUUAAGUUGUUAGAUGCAUUUGAUGAAUUAUAUGCUUAUUAUUAUUGUUUGUGAAAUCUCACCCCUUCUGCUUGAAAAUGUUGCCCUUCGUAUGGGUAACUUGCAGGUAUUAAAGAUUAGUAGGAGUGGUGACUCAAGUGUCUUAGGGCUCUGAUACGUAACGGGAUGGGAAAUUGUUGCUAAGUUUAUCAUUCCUUUAUGUAUCAAUUUUGGAACAUGUUGUUGAAGCUGUUAUUGUCGUUGAAUUAAUUCUGCUGCAAAGUUUUAAUUAUUACGUUGUUGAAAUUUGAA